CUGAAAUUAUAGAAGGGGUGAAGAGGCAUCUUUUUGGUAAUUUAUCAUAAUGUUUAGUAACAGCAAUUUGCAGUAAUGAAAUAACUAAUCUUUACUUCUCCUGGGUAUGUGUUAUAUUUUUUGGCUUAUGCUUUACUUACUUUUUUUUAUUACUCCAUUUCCUAAAUUAUUUAAACUUACAAGGCAAACUCUAACUUAUUAAUGGUAAGGCAGGCUUCGGAAAUGAGAAUCAUGCAAAUAAUGAUUUCAUUUUUUACCCGUGUUUUUAAGGGACUGAGAUACCUUUGUCAUUUACCUGGGAUUUACAGGGACCAAAAAGCUGGACAUCAUUCACCACCGGGAACAGCAUAUUGUUCCUGGAAGAGGCAAAAGCCUAGGGCUUCAAGAUGCCGGGGCUUCAAGAAACCAAGGCAUGACCUCAAGAGAUUUGCCGGAGGUGGCCUCGGUGGCAGCAGUCAUUGAAGAAAGGAAGACAGCUGCCCAGCCAGUCUGACAGACCAUACACAGACAGCCCUGUUCACAGGGAGAUAAGUGUCUCUGCACAACCCGCGGCCACCAUGGUGGCUUCAGGAAAGGCUCCCACAUUCCCAGAGCCUCUGCUGCGGCUCACUGACAAAUCAGCCCCUCAAUAAUCUUAUUGUAUGUUUUCAAAAUAAUUCUCAGUAAUGCCCCAAGAAUGUCUGAACUUCUGUGUGAACUCGCUAGUUUGCAUAUUUUUCAGCUUAUUAGCGAGAACUCCGAUAGACAAAGCCCAUGACCUUGCUUUUCCACGGACCUCUUGGCCGGGGUGCAAGGGCAGCCUCUCCUGCUGGUGAACUUGCAGUGCCCUCCUGUCUUGUUCUGAUUCUCUCUCACACUGAUUCCAGCCUCUUUCUUCCCUUGCCCUCUUCAUAGACAACAUUAAGAAAUAAAUCACUUGGCUUUGAUGAUGGUUUACUCAUUAGAGAAGGCCACAAGAUUCAGGUUCUGAAUUUUCAUGAAGCAAGAUUCUGGAAAAAGAAAGAGAGUGCAGAGAUAGUGUUGCCUUUGAUUACCUGUUUACCCCAAACCCAGCGCCGCUGGGAAGGGAGCACUCAGCUUCUGAUUUCAGGAUGACUGCAUGCGAC
ensembl:lincRNA